CCGGCUCCAUCCUCCCCACGCUCCUCCCAUCCAGUACUCUCCGCCUUUCCACCGACACCCUCGCCGUCUCCAGAGUCGGUGUCGUGUUGCCCGGCCUUUUCUACUCUCGCCGCAUCGCCAUCCCCGGCCUCAGAGGCAUCGUGAGGCCAAUCCUCCCAUUGCAAGCAUCGGCGCCGAUAAGGUCGCGCCCUUGAAAACUGUGUCCAACUGUACAGAUUUCUCUUUGGCUGCAUCGACGCCCUCAUCAACAAUGUCAUCGUUAGUGGGAUGAUUUUGCAACUCAUAUGGCAGAAGCCAGUUACUUCAAGCCACUAGUGCAGUACCUUAAAGAAGGAUUUACAAACAGAAGACGUGCCGGGAUAAAAGAAAACAUAAGGAAUAAAGUGAGAAAAAGAAGAAGAAGUUCCAGCAAUGAUAAAAGAAAAAAUUAGGAAGAAAGUGAUGAAGAACAUUACUAAAUUAAUUAGUUUUUUUGUAUCUUUUUAUGGCGUCACUGUUAUGUUUAGUUUUCCUUAAUGAAACAUUUCCUUUAUAGAUCUUUUAUAACAAUUCAAGUUUUAGGCAUC